AGAAGAGAGGAUCAGAGGGGGUGUUGCUAGGAUAUCCAAAUGGAAAAAUAUGCAGCCCGAUAGAAAAUGGAUAGAUGGAGAUCCAAUUAAAUGCAAUUCAGGCGGAGGUCUUCAUUAUAGGGAGAUGUUGUACAAGAAAUAUUUAAAUAAUGAAAGGAAAAAGAAGAGUGAAAAAACAGAAAAUCUACCAACUGUUUUCUUUUUCUAAUCUCGAAACAGUAAUUUAUUUGACCAAACAGCCCAUCUUUGUUAAGUAAAUACGCGUUAAACAAAAGUUACGAAUGGAGAAUCCACAUGCAAAAAAAACGACACUCAGUAGGAUGGGAAAACCGAAAAAUCAAGCCUCUCUCUUUCUUGAGGGAAAAUUGCUACAAUACUCUUCCACUUUUAGAGGGAAAAUUGUUGACAAUCCCAUUCCAAUUUUGGAGGAAUAUAAUUGAAAAACCCUCUAUCUUUUUUGGAGGGAAAACUAUUUGUAUGAUGUAAUGUGAGAUUUGAUUGCAUUGUCGGAUAUGCGAUUGAGCCAGAUUCCAACAGACCUUCCUCCCAGAAAAUGAUGGAUCUAAAAGAAAACGGCAUUUUCUGCCUCUGGUGAUCUUGCAUAUUCUACUGAAUUUCAACUGGAAUUGACAGGCUUUCAUGUUGUAAGGCUGCAAGCCCUCCCAGAAAACCUCACUAAUUGAGUUAAGUGCGAUUUCAGAGAAACAAUACAAUAUAUGGUUAUUGCCAAACUAUGCCCUGAUGUUUUUUCCUUCUUUAUUUUUGGCAACAAGCUAAAUUAUGUCUAAAUUACUUUCCCUUCUCCUUUUUUAUUUCUCCAGUACUCGGGUAUAGAAUGAAAAGAUAGGUUAUAAGGCUAUUAAACCCCUACGACAGUUUUA
rnacentral:lncRNA from 1 species